GCAGGAUAGGUUUCUUUUUACGUUUUGAGAAAUCGAUUUGCCAAUUUAGAAAAUUUCAAUCAUCAUACCUAUCUUCGGUAGUUUUCUUUUAAUCUCGCAUUCUUGGACUAAUUUGUUUUUUUUUAAUUUUUCAGACAUAAAUAGCUAAUAGGCCGUAAUAAAUAAACAAAUACUUAACGAGGGAAGAAUCUUUUAAAGUGGUUUUGGAAAGAUUUACAGAAACAAGGAAUGUUUACUAUCCUCAAAAGCAGAGAGACUGAAGUCUGUCUUAAACGAAGAAAAUGAAUUCAAUAUUUUAACAGCAAUUAUAGAAAAUCCGCAUGUGUCUAAUACAUAAUACAUUUGGAAAAAAAUUUCAGACUAUCAGAAGAAUAAUAAAAAAAAACAGAUUUCAUCCUUAUCAUCUUCAGCAACAUUAAGAGCUUAAAGAAUUAGAUUUUCAAAAUAGAAUUGAUUUUUGUAAUUGGAUAGAGCAAAACCUAAAUCAGGAUGGAAUUUUUUUUUAUAAAACUAUGUUUAUUGAUGCGUGUACAUUUCACUGAAAUGGUUUUGUUAACCGGCAUAAUUUCUAUUAUUAUUCUGAUGAAAAUAGUCAACAAAUUAUGUAUUAUCAACAAGAUGGGGCACCUGCACAUCCUUACCGUGCCCGUCAUGUACCUAAAGGUGGAUAGGAAAGGAUGGACCAAUACGUUGGCCAGCGAGGCCUCCCGAUAUAAUCCAUUUGAUUUCAUUUUGUGAAGGUAUGUCAAGAAAAUGCAUACAAACAACAACCAACAACGGCGGAGGUCCACCCUGUAUACAUAUACCCGCUUCUUUUUGCUUUAAGAUAUAUCUACCUCAUCAACUCGAAAAUGAAGUUACGGAAGUGGGGCAGUAUAGCUUAAGGAUAAAACAUUCUUAGUUAAAAUUAGUAGCUUACAGUUGUGGUCAGAUGAAAUGUCCUCCCUAAGAUACCUACUUCAAAUCACAUAACUAUAGAUUUAGUUCAAUAUCAUUUCAAUGUUAGGGAGUUUCCUUAUUUUGAAAAGAAGCUCAAAACUCACGGGGGAUUUGGUAUAUUAAUUAUGUGCUACACGUUCCAGAUAAUCGAAGGACAUUAUUUUUGACCAAAACCGUACCAUUGUUUAACUACUUUAUUAAACAAUGACCGUACCUAUGUAUUCAAAAGGUAGCAGGUAGCGACCGUUUUUUUUGUUCAAGCGUAACGGACUGGUUCGAUCGAAGGGUUGUAUAUACAAUAUAAACCGGUACGCAUUUGGGUAUAAAGGUAGGUACAUAUAAGUCGGUACAAGAAACAAAUAUCAAUACGAAUGUAGAAAAAGGAAACAAAAUUUAUUAGGAAAUAACGCGUAUGUGUGCAUAACGAAAGAAACAGGCUUUGAUUAUAGUUCAGCAUCUUGGAGUAACAUGUAGAUGAAUCAACAUUGGACAAUGAAGUAAAGCAUCAUAUUUUGUUUUUCUUCUUGCAUCUCUUCUACGUUUCCUACACAAUUUUCAAAUGAAAAAUAACUGACAUGUAAAUAUACCAACUGAAAACAUUCACUUUAUUUUUUAAUGAGGUAGUAACCAUCUUUUAUACCAUUAUAUAUAUGUACAGUGUGUCCACGGAUUGAGUGCACAUUUUAUUUAUGUUCUGAGGAUCGCUCCCACUGCUUGAUCUCAAACUAAAACAUUGAAAAAAUGAGCCAAAUUUGCCGAAUUUUAAAAGUUGGUCAAGAGUAAACUGUCUUUAUUUUAGCAGAUAACAAUCCAUUAAACAAAAGUUGUUCGGAAUUAAAAGAAGACUUUAAUUUGCAUACAAUUGAUCUUCGAACUCGUUUGUAACAAAAAUCAAAGCCGGCUGAUUUGUAUAAAAACUGAAAGUCUACCAUAUCUGCCAAGCUGAUAUGUGAUUGUUUUUUACACGACUUACCUACUGCAGAUUUUAAAUUGUCUCAUUGUGUUAUUGAUGAAAAAAAUCAAAGUAGGCUGAUUUGUAUGAAAAUUGAAAGUCUUCCAUAACAUUAAUUUUAAAGAACUUUUUUUUAAUACAUUUAGGUUACAUUUUUUUAAUAUCUUAGCAGGAGCGAUCCUCGGAACAAGACCCAACUCUAAAAAAUUGUCAUAUAUACACCUUACGUGCGCUCAAUCCGUGGACACACAAGUCCUAGGAUUAGGUCAUUCCUGGAAUCCAGGAAGCUAGUUUGGUUAGCUGUCAUUGUGGUGCUUGUAUUAUUUACAUAAGCUUAUGGUAUGCCCUCAACUGCUUUAAAGGGUCGUAGAUAUUACUGUAAGUGUCACGUAUGCUAGGACGAAUCAAUUCCAAACUCUUCAGUUUUGAAAUACUUAAGUAUUAUGUGUUACAUUAUAUACAGUAUACACAUGCAAACAGCAUUGUUUCAAAUAAAGGAAACCUUUGAAAUGGUAUGAAGUAUUAAGUAUAAGUACUUAUCAGAUACACAUUCAGUAUACUAUAUUAGAUAUAACAGAACCUCGCGUCCUGCUCAUGCCAUGAAACUACAGACAGUUUCAAGGAAAUUAUUGUAUGCUGGAUGACAGAAAAUGGAUUGUAGAAUAAGCAAGGGAUAAAGACAGCGCAUGGUGGAAAAAGACGGGAUUUAUUCGUCCAGACGAAGCAAAAACUACAAAGCAUUCUACCUGCAUUUUUGGUAUGGUAAUAUCUCUGAUGGUGGCAUUUAUUUGCCAGCUAGUUGUUCAUCGCUAACGCAAACUGAAAAAUUGUUCAAUUUUUGACCUACAUUUUAUAUUCAAAGGUUCAAUGAUUCUUACUUUUAGCAUUAGGAGAAUUUUGUUUGUACAUGCAUACAAGUAUUAUUAAACGCACGAUUUUAA